AGCACCAUGGUAUCUGCAGCCAGUGGCUUCUCCCUCUGGUCUGUUCAUAACUCGGUGCAAGAACAAUUUGACAUCAAGCAUCGUUGGUCUCCAUGCUCUGUGCCUGGAGUCCUGGUAUAUAUGUCAAUACAUUU